rnacentral:rRNA from 1 species
UACGUAGGGUGCAAGCGUUAAUCGGAAUUACUGGGCGUAAAGCGUGCGCAGGCGGUUUUGUAAGUCUGACGUGAAAUCCCCCGGGCUUAACCUGGGAAUUGCGUUGGAGACUGCAAGGCUGGAAUCUGGCAGAGGGGGGUAGAAUUCCACGUGUAGCAGUGAAAUGCGUAGAGAUGUGGAGGAACACCGAUGGCGAAGGCAGCCCCCUGGGUCAAGAUUGACGCUCAUGCACGAAAAGCGUGGGGAGCAAACAGG